UUCGAUAACGAACGAGACCUUAACCUGCUAAAUAGUUACACGAUUCUCGAAUUGUGGACAACUUCUUAGAGGGACUAUCGGUGUUUAACCGAUGGAAGUUUGAGGCAAUAACAGGGCUGUGAUGCCCUUAGAUGUUCUGGGCCGCACGCGCGCUACACUGAUCAAGUCAACGAGUUUACAACCUUGGCCGGAAGGUCUGGGUAAUCUUUUGAAACUUGAUCGUGCUGGGGAUAGUCCAUUGCAAUUAUUGGACUUCAACGAGGAAUUCCUAGUAAGCGUGAGUCAUCAGCUCGCGUUGAUUACGUCCCUGCCCUUUGUACACACCGCCCGUCGCUACUACCGAUUGAAUGGCUGA
rnacentral:rRNA from 1 species